UUAAACUGGAUUAUAUGAAUCUGCACUGCCAGAUAAUCUGAGAUAAACAGAAAAACUGGGAUCAGAUCCUGGGAUAUAGGGCCUGUCUGUUGUGACUGCGCCUUUGGGGAUUAUGGUUGAUGGUGAUGGGAUUCGAAGAGGAAGAAAAAACCCUCGUGAUGAGGGUUCACUGGAGGAGUUGUGCAGGAAGCGACUUAGAGAGCUAUAUGGGGGAUCUUCUGAGGAAGAUUCAGAUGGGGAGUUUGGGGAAAUGGAUGCUGAGGAACAGGUGGUGGCUGGGGAAGUGGGCACUGAAUGGGCACAGCCACCAGAGAUGUCUGGGGAUUUGGGGCCUAUGGAUAUUACUGAACCUGGGGUUUCUGCUGGAGCUGAUCCCACUUGGGAUGCUUGGAGAAGGGAGGAUGGUUCUUUAAGUGUUCAUGGGGCUAAGUGUGGGCAGGAUGAUUGGGACUCCGACGAAUUGCUAGGUACUCCAGAUCCACGAGCUCUAGCUGUGUGGAGUUCGGACUCUGAGUAGAUUUGGGACACCUGGUGUUUGAGUGUGAGUGUUUGGUCACCCAGGAGGAAGGGGAAUAAAAUGGGAAUAUUUGGCCAUUGCACUUUGCAUGUGGCAAGGUGUUGCUGAGGCGCCAUUGGGAUCUCUGUGUUUCCGUGAAGACUGGACUUGGACUGUGAUUCGAAUCUGCUGAUACCAUCUGGCUUGGCUCUCGCUGUGUCUUAUCGUGGACCUGGUUUGGAUGACUGCACCCUCUUCGGACUUUGGAUUGAAUUUGACCUGGCUU